GCUGCAGCGGAAGCGCAGCUCCUCUCAGGCAGUUCAAGGGACCAUGAGACAGAGCUACGUGAGGCAGUGGCUGCUGUCUUCGGCUCCCACAGUAAUGUAAGGAGGAGGGGAAUUCUCGGACUUUGAAAUUCGGAAUUAGAGAGACGGUCUGCCCCAGACAUGCAAAAAGAGAUUUACUAAAAUGUGAUUAUCAAAAACGUGGGAAGGUUCAGGAGUGCACCAUUGUGUUGGCUGAGACAGACGCAGAUGAGAUAACCUGCCAGCUUUCGAGAGCCCCUGGAGGACAAAGCAGUAUUGCAAUAAACGACACGGAUUAACGCAACCUGCGCCCCAAAGACCGCAGUUUAGUCCGCACUGAAGCGCACCGCACCUACAAAUAACAUGGCAGCUGACAAAGAAACCUUUAUAAAGCAGUAUUGCAAUUCAGGCAAAUCUCCUGUAACCUAAAUCAUGUCUGUCCGCUGUAUUGUACAUUUCCCUGUCGCUGGUCAUGAGCUCCCCCUUGUGGUACAUAAUGAUAUAUAAUGAUGUGUUUUAUCCCUUUAUCGUCCCAUUGAAGAAAAUAUUUGUACAUGUUUUAAACACAAAUAUGUCUCCCAGAAUGAUGGCGCCAGCAGAUAGUAAUGGUCGGUCUGAUGUUACCAAAUGUCCACAACGUCUGAAUUUCUACAGAUUACAGCGAGAUGACAUGAAGAUAUUCCUGACGUACAGUAGUUGCAGCCAUUUGUCAACAAAAUCAAUAAAAGGUUUUAAGAAGCAAAAGUGUUAUAUGGAAAAUAACUAAAUGGUAAAUAAACCAAUAAAAUGGAAUCUCAAUUUUACAUCUUUAAUAAA